UUUUCCGGCAACUCCUGCUCUUUUCUUUCUAUUCUCUCCUCUGCUUUUUUGUGGGUGUGUGUGGGUGUGUUCUGUUUUCUUGGACAGGUGACUAUUUUACCGGCGAGGAUUUCCGGCAAGCCACAGUACUCCCGGGGACUCUCGUCCAGACUCGCGGCAGGACACAAUAGAACUACACGAAGCUUCAGGAAAACUUGGGCGCAUCAAAGCAUACUUUCA
rnacentral:lncRNA from 1 species